rnacentral:lncRNA from 1 species
ACCGCGUAUAAAAUCUACCUUGGAAUUGUAGCAAUCGUCAAUGACGUCCACAAGGUUGACAAAUGACGGUCUAAGGUGCAGAUUAUUAACGUCUGACCAUUACUCCACCAUGAUUUCAGAAUUAGACGCCCCUAAGCAUUCUCGACGGCGGUGCCGGGAUGCAGACUGGCACAGCGGCGGCAACCGACACUGCGAUUCGCGGUACUCAAAACAACAUUCCUCGUCAUGCGUAAUCCACGCCAAUCACCCCGACCGAUGGGGUCCUGUCCCAGCACCUACACAACCCACCAUCUACACCUCCGCCUCCGGGAUGCGCCACACCCAUGUCUCCACACCACACACUCCGCAUCGUACAGAACAAGAAUAUUGACUUCAUUUAAAUUACAUUGCCUGCUUACAGUUUCAUACUCUCAUCUUCCGACUACAAUCAACAUCCUACUUCACUUCGAAAACGUGUCGAAGAUUGUGGUGUGCAGGGGGUCCGCCAGGUGAGUGGCCCAGUUGUCCAGGGGUCCCUUGCCCGUGGCAGCGGCCUGCGCUGCGAAACCCAAAGCGGCAACCAUCGCCAGCCUCGCGUGCUUGAUUUCGGCUAAUUUCAAUGUCUCCUUCUUGUCCUCCGUGUCCGCGAAGUUCAGUGGGUCGAAGAACUUCCCGCCCGGAUAAAGACGCUUCUCGGGGUCCAGCUCCGCGUUCCUCUGGAACUCGAUGAAUCCCACCAAAAAUGCCUCGAUGUAAACCAGGCUGGUGAUGCUGAACGGCAGGGGCAGCCCGAAGUAUGAAGCACCGUCCACCAACUCAACCUGUACUCCCAUUGCAACCGACCCGCGUCAGCCACAUACCCAUUGCUCGUGCAUUCCGACCCACCAAAUCCCUCAUCACUCAUCACCCACCGAACACGCCAGACAACAUUCUUCAUGAGUCCAACCACAACUCCGGACGUACCCGCUCAAUCAUUUACAAACAAUGCGUCGGCGACAGGCACCGUCACGCUAGGGCUCCUAAUCGGGAUCCUCACGGCCUUCGACUCACACCUUCUCGCACGGCUAGCAAACCAAGCCGGUGCUCGUAAUCAAACAGGGGCACUCUCCCACUCACCGACACCAACACCAACAAUUCUCGACUUACAACACAAUGAGAAGCCCUACCUUGCCGGCAUCUUGCCAUGUCACGCCCGUGAACGCCUCCACGGACAGGGCCCCCAAUAUGGCAAGCAUGGCCCAGCGCCCGUGGAUCAGCUCGCAUUCCCUGAACCUCUGCAGGCCGAACACCUCGCUGUACGGCUGGAACGGGGUUGGGGCGAUCUCCUCCUUCUUCGAGAUGCGGGUUCCGAUCACAUCUCCGGCCUCGUUCUUGGCCAGGUUCUGGUUCAGCGAGUCCAGCUCAAUCUGCAGGUACUCCGGGCUCUUGCCCAGGCUCAAGGGGUCGAAUCCGUAGUCUCCGGGGAGGGAUCCGUCCAGCCACUCGGGCGCCUGCGCGCCGGGGAACCACAGCGGCCUGCCAGCGCCGGAGCCCGAAGCCUUCUUCACCGCCUUGGACGCGGCCUUGGCAGCCUGCUUGGCCUUGCCCGGCACCGAGAACCUGGCCACCACGCGCGACCCAUUCUGCACGCCCAGUCGCUCCACGGACCUCACGAACGACGACGACGCGAUGCUCGCGCACCUCACUGCCUGCGCCAUCGCUGCGAUUUGCUCGAACACUUCCCUCUCAGAGCCGGUCACAACGCUCGAUGGGUCAGUAUGAUCAGCAGUUCUGUCCGAGUGCAAGAUGUGGCGAGCUCAAGUUUUUCUGGAUACGGUCAAGAUUGCGUUGGGUUGGAAACGAUAUCCUACUGCUCUCAUGCGUGUGGCCGAGAGACGGUGCUGCGGCGCUCCCGACCAACCAGGGAUCCCCUCAUCCUGCCCCACUCUCCGACGGAAUAUCGGCGAACUUCGUUGCAUUGGACGCAUAGUUUUGGCGAUUCGUCUUUGGCUGUGAGAGUUGCAGUGGGUCUUUAUUGGCUGUGCUGUUAGAUUCCUCAAGGUGGGUUAUCCACACUUGGUCUUUGUUUAUUCUUUUCCCUUUGGAUAUGGAAUACUUCCUGCAUGGGUUUCGCAGCCUUUUAAAUUUGGCUUGCAUUGGAUGUAUGAUCGUUGAAACCUUUCGUGUGUAUACGUUGUUUCUUGAGCUGAGGAUAAUUUUCAUUCACAUUAGUUGGAACGUUCAUGAGCUUACCUACACAGUAUCCUACAUUGAGCAUGUUUUAUUUCAAUUUGUUGUGUUUUUUUCUUCUACGAGAGUCUCCUAAUUGCAUUCAGAACUGUGUCUUUCUAUGUCUGAUUGAUUUUAACAAAAUAUUAGAAAUUGGGCUUAGAGUGCUUAAAGUGUUAAUUUCAUCAAUUGAAAUUAUUUAUUAUACCCUUCUAUACAGUACAUGUGUUGAACCAUGAGUGCACUGAAAUGGUAUUCUCAUUUUAUGCUGUAGUAUUUUUAUUAUUUAUUAUAUUUGCAAAACUUAUGAAGAAAGCAUUGUUUUUAAAGAAGUUUCAUGUAAUGUUGUAAAAAUUCUCAAAACAAUGUUUUGUAGGAAUUUUAAAAUUAUACACUUGUAAUCAUGUGGUGGAUAUUGAAUUCUUUUCUUGUUUAUUUAUUCAUUUGCUCAUUUUCUCAUUCACUCAUCCAUUUGUGUGUUUAUGUAUGUAUGUAUAUAUAUAUAUAUAUAUAUAUAUACAUAUAUAUAAAGAGAGAGAGAGAGCCAGAGAUAUUUGAAUCAGUAUACCUGUUUAUCCUGAUGAUUAUAAAUCAAAUUGUAGAUUGAGUUUAUGAUGUGUGUAAAACUUCAAAACAUACAAAUUCACUAUUAUAGAAAUGUCAAAUAUCGCACAUACUUCUUGAGAUUUUCUUAAAUUUUUUAACAAAGUAUUAUUUGAAGACGUCCAAAUCUAAAUAAAUAAAUAAGUAAUAGAAUUCAUGCAUUGAGAACAGAAAGUUAUAUAAUGGACCCAGUCAUAAGUUUGAUGCAUGUAGUGUAAAUCAAUCUUUUUUGGUACUGAAAGCACAAAGUUUCAAUACACAUCAUUUACUGUUACUUGUUCAUAUAUACUUACAGAAAAGUAUUUAGUACAAUUUUAAUAACACCAUAAAACCAAUAAUGCUAUUGCUUGAUGAUGAGAACAUAAAUCACUCUCUCUACAUACGAUUUCUACAUACAAGAGAAUGUUUGACAAUGUGCAAGGCACUAAGCAUCUAAAACCCGUCAAAGGACAAGAUCUACAUAUUUCAUGUGAUAUUAAAGAAAAUGGAUAUGAAGACUAUGGCAGCUUAAUAAUAAUAAUAAUAGUAGUGAACAAAAAAAAAACAAAAAAAAACAACAACAACAACAACAACAAUGAAGUUUUUGAUGUGCUCUCAAAUUUAUAUUUUAAAAAAACAAAGGAGAUACUAACAACAUAUAAUUAACAUGAGCAUGAGAAAUAAAUUAUUCACAUAUUUGAUUGAAAUGGCGCACUUGAAAUAUCAAAUAUUUAAAAAAUAUUUAUUUUAUUUAAAUGGAUACAAAGUUGAAUGUCUACAUUACAGUUUCACAAUCCAAUAUUGUAUGUGUUGGUAAUAGAAGUAAAGUGAGAUGAUCUGCAAAGUUUUUGUUAGUUGAAUUAUUUAUACACAUCACAUAAACAUCAUAGUUAAGUUUUUUUUUAAAAAAAUAUAUUUAUAUAUAUAUAUAUAUAUAUAUAUAUACUUUAAACAACCAUUACUCAAACAUAUUUAUAAUGCAGAAUUUUUUACAUGAUUUUGGUAACUUUGAUGACUUGAUUUUGGCCAUUUUUCUUAGUAAUAUGUUGCAGCUCUGCAUUAAAGUAUAAUAAAAACAUUAUAUCACUGAAGUAAUGUAUAAUUUUUUUUUAUAUAUACUCUCUUUUUUUUUGAUAAAAACAAGAAUACAUUAAAAAAAAAUUGUUCAAAAAUGUUCAGGACAAUAUUUACCAUUUGUGAAGAUCAUAAGGAUUGCUUCCAUUAAUUAUACAGGUGAGUAAUUUUUAGACAAUUAAAUAUUGAUGUGCAUAGAAAUUAGGUUCUUUAGGUAUUUUUAAAGUAUAUAUUUGAUUUGAAAGUAAGUACAUCAGCCCACAUUCUACAUAAGUAAGAUUAAGCUGAUCAAUAAAAUUAUUCUUAUUACAAUCAAAGUAUUGAUUUUUUGUGGGAUAUAUUCAAUCCAUAAAUUGAUAGCAACUUGACUUUAGAAUAUGCUCAAAUUUUAGAAUUAGAAUAAGUUAUUAAUAAUAAUAAAAAGAAUCAGCUUCUAUUUUGGCUUUAAACCUUUAAAGCUCUCUUUCCAAGAAAAUGAUAAGCUUAGAAGAAGCAAAACAAAAGUUAUCAAAUACUUUAGAUUGUCAUUAACAAACAUGAUAAAACUAUGUGUUGUUCAUAAGAUUGGUCCUAUAAAGUCUAAAAGAUUGUUUUAAAUCUUUAUUUAAUGAUAUGGUAAUCCAAGAUAGAUGGAAAAGUUUGAGAAUGUUAGAGAAUAAGUCUAUAGUAAUAUUUAUAUAAAAUGUUUAUGAACUUAUCAAUGAUUUGAGAGAGAUAAAAGAACUUUCUUUGAUUAUGUCAUUGUUUAAAAGAUAAUGAAGGUACUUCCUUUAAAAUUUGAGAUAUUAAUGUGUAUUAUUAUAAAUGAGCAUAUAUCUUCAAUAUUAGUUGUUUUAACAAGUAGAGUACAAAAAAAAGAAAUAAAAAAGAUUAAAUUAGAUCUAUAUAAAAAAAUAUUAAUAUUUUAAAUUUAAAAUGUAAUUUGUAGACAUUAAAAAUCUAUAUGGCAUCAAGAAGAACAACUCAAAUCAUAUUAUGGAUAUGAAAGCAUAAAAAGUAAAAUAAACCUAGAAUGACAUUAUUAUCAAAAAAACCAACUACUUACUUGAGAUUGUCUUGUACUAGCUGUUAGGGACAUAAUCCUUAGAACCUUCUAGAGACAAGUUUCUAGAACCUUCUAGAAGCAAGUCUCUGGAACCUUCUAGAAGCUUCCAAGUUGGUAGAAGUUGCUUGAGAAGCUUCCUAAAUAGGAGUAUAUAUUGGAAUCGAGGCUGAAGAGUUCUUCAGUCUCGACAACACAUCUCUUGGAGCUCUAGCUCACCUCUCUGGUGUUGUUCUCAUCUGAUUAAUCUAGUUCUUGCCAAUUCUUCUUGAACUUCUUGUUAGAUCUCGAGUCUGUAUUUCUGUGUCCAUGACACUUUGUCGAGGCUUCAUUCACCUCAGAUAUCAGAGCUAGUUUCUUCUUUCUUAGAGUAUGGAUUACCCCUCUGCUUGGAAAAUAUACUAGUAUUUUAGAAGUUACGGAUUACCUUCCUCUAAACUGAUACUUCUUUUGUUACAAUAUUGGAGUCUUAUUCUUCUUGGAGAGAGUGGAUUACUCCUUUUCUUAAAGCUCGUAAGGUAUUUUAGAAGAUGCAGAGUACCCUCCUCUAAACCAAUAUUGUCUUCUUGUAGAGUCAUUUCUGUCCUUCUCUUAGAAGGGCUGGGAGCCAAGACAUUAGUAUGACAGAAAGUUCAGAGUCUAAGUUGCAUGCUAUCAUGAAUGCCCUCGCUACAUUAUCACAAAGAACUGCAGAGAUUGAAGGAGUCGUCGCAAGGCUUCAUAAUGAUGGAGCAUGUGGGAUGGCACAAUCUAGGUUGCACCAGUCUCAAACUUCUGCACUUGGAGAAGCAACUUUGCCUUAAGUUUGACAAGCACCGCUGGUUCUACAACAUAAGGAGCCCCGAGUUAGCCUUCCGCACAAGUUCGAUGGUACGGGUUCCAAGUUUCGAGGAUUCGUCAACCAAAUCAGGUUGAUAACAGUUUUACAGCCCGAACACUAUCCAAUGGAGGAGUCACGUGUUGGGAUUGUUCGAACCUUAUUUACAAGACAAGCUCUAUCAUAGUUUGCUCCUUUGUUUGAGAAACGAUCGUCCAUACUAAACAACUUUGAAACCUUUUUGGAGGCAUUUGUAGAAGCAUUUGGUGAACACAACAAGGUUUGAUGGGCUACAACAAAGAUCCGGUCGCUACAACAAGAGAUGCGCUCUACAUCAUUCUAUGCAUCGGACUUCAGGCAAUUAGCAUGCGACAUCAAUUGGGAUGAAGAAGCGUUGAUGAGUCAAUUCUAUUGGGAUUUAAGGGACGAUGUGAAGGAUUUACUGUUAACUCUUCCUGAUCCACAAACGCUCAACAAAACUAUUAGCCAAGCUAUGAAGUGCGAUAACCGCCUAUUCCAAUACCACCAAGACCAAUAUUCAAGACAACAUACGGUUCGCCACGCCCCAACUAUGUCAGCAAGUAGUAUGAAUUCACAUUCAGAGGUAGAAGACAUGCAAAUUGAUGUGGUACGUGUCAAAUCCCUUACUCUAGAAGAAAAAAAUCGGCGUAUAGAGGAAGGUCUAUGCUUGUAUUACGGUGAAGAAGGCCACAAAGUUGGAAACUGUCCCAAGAAGCAAAAUCGACAUAUUGUCAAGACUAGGGGCGCAUUUAUUCAAGAAAACGAGGAUACCUAGGCACAAUAGGAACCGUGCAGCAGGACAGUGAAAUAUCACAACAACAACCAGGUUCCUUUCUUUCCGCUCAACCUGCCCUUUGUUUUAUAAUCCCUUUGCUUAUUGGCCCUCAAAAACUGAGAACCUUAGCAUUAUUAGAUUCAAGAGCAUCUGCUUGUUUCUUAGACGAAGAAUUUGCAAAGCAUCAUAAGAUCCCUUUAGUACAAAAAUCCAAACUUGUUCACGUUGAAGUUACAGAUAGGCGACCUUUAUUGUCUGGUAGUGUCACUCAUGAAUCAGAACCUAUAGAAGUGACAUUUAAGGGCCAUAGUAGUCAUAUUAUUUUCAAUAUUAUUAGAAUCCCAUCAAAUUCUGUUAUUCUUGGUCUUUUCUGGAUGGAAAAGUAUAACCCAUCUAUAGAUUGGAAGUUGCAAAAGAUGACCUUUUCUCACAAAACCACCCAAGAGCAAGCCUAGGAGAAAACCCCAAAUAGAGAAAUCCUUAUUUAUUAGAGCAAGAGCGUUUAUAAGAUCAUCUAAGGAAGGCACACCGUUUAUCAUUUAUCCGGUUCCAACUACAAGGGAGAAGAUCUCGACAGCAAGUAUACCGGAGCAAUAUAAGGAUUUUAAAGACGUGUUUCAAAAAAAAAAUGCCGACAUGCUAUCGGAACACAGACCAUAUGAUUGUGCCAUAGACUUACGGAAAGGAGCACAACUAUUUUUUGGCCCAAUCUACAAUCUAUCGCAGACUGAGUUGGCGGAGUUGCGGAAGUACAUCGACGAGAAUCUAGCCAAAAACUUCAUCCGUCAUUCAAAAUCGUCAGCUGAAGCACCCAUCUUAUUUGUGAAGAAGAAAGAUGGCUCAUUGCAGAUGUGCAUAGACUAUCGAGGCCUCAACAAGGUAACAAAGAAGAAUCGUUACCCGUUACCCUUGAUUUUUGGUCUCUUAGAAUAACUUGGACGUGCAAGAAUCUUUACAAAAAUUGAUCUAAAGGGAGCUUACAACCUCGUACAAAUAAAGGAAGGAGAUGAGUGGAAGACAGCGUUCUGUACAAGGUAUGGCCAUUUUGAGUACAAUGUCAUUCUCUUUGGUCUUAUUAAUGCCCCGGCGAUCUUUCAACAUAUGAUGAAUGACAUUUUUUGAGAGUACCUUGACAAUUUUUUUGUCAUCUAUUUAGAAGAUAUUCUCAUAUUCUCCAAAAAUGAGGAAGAGCAUGAAAAGUACGUUCGUUUGGUCUUGGAGAAACUAUGCGAGUGACGACUAUAUGCCAAGUUAGAGAAGUGUUUAUUUCACCAAAUAGAGAUGGAGUUUUUGGGGUUCAUUGUGACUAUGGAAGGCUUGAAGAUGGACCCCAAGAAGGUGGAAGCAAUCGUGUCCUGGGAGGUUCAAAGACGGUGAGAGACAUACAAUGCUUUCUUGGCUUUGCCAAUUUCUAUCGGAUCUUCAUCAAGAAUUAUUCUCAAGUUGCUGCUCCUCUCACUCAGUUGACAUGCAAGGAUAAGCUGGAAUGGGGACCUCUAGCGAAGAAGGCAUUUCAAGACCUGAAGACCGCAUUUACUACGACUCCAAUCUUGAUACAUCCAGACUUUACAAAGGCCUUUUAUUUAGAAAUUGAUGCUUUGGAUUUUGCUUUGGAAGCUGUACUUUCACAAAUGGAAGAAGACAAGAAACUCCAUCCGGUUGCAUUCUAUUCUUGGAAGUUCUCUGCUGCUGAAAUCAAUUUUGAAAUCCACGAUAAGGAACUUCUUGCUAUAGUGGAUUCUUUCCAAGAAUGGCAUCACUUUCUUGAAGGAGCUGCACACCCAGUGAUCGUAUACACAGAUCACAAGAAUUUGGAGUAUUUCAUGUCGGCUCAAGUUCUAAAUCGACGUUAAGCUCGGUGGAGUAUGUUGCUAUCUAGGUUCAAUUUUGUUAUCACUUAUCGACUUGGAAAGCAGUAAGGACUAUCUGAUGCCUUAUCGAGGAUUUUGUAACUUGUACCAAAGGCUAGAGAAGGAGCGUUUGAUGAACAAUGUACGACAUUGUUGAAGCUAGAGCAAUUUCAGCUUUGCGCUACUAUUGUGCCAAUUGAUGCUGACUUCUUGAAUCAGGUACGUGCCGCGACCAUUAAAGAUUCAGUAGCCAUUGAUAUCAAGCAUCGUACCUAUGACAAAAAAUUCAAGGUGGAGGGAGAUCUUUUAUACUUUGAGGAGCGGUUGUAUAUCCCAUAAGGACUAGCACGACUCCGAGUUCUUCAAUCUCGCCACGAUUUUCCAACUGCAGAACAUUUUGGAUUCAACAAGACCUUGGAGCUUAUUUCUCGAGAUUUUUAGUGGUCUUAAAUGUGGAAGGAUGUGAAAGAUUUUGUCCUCUCGUGCGACAUCUGUUUAAGAUCCAAGAAUCCUCAGCAUCGCCCUUAUGGACUCCUACAGCCAUUACCGAUUCCAUGUCGACCAUGGUCUUCAGUUUCCAUGGACUUCAUCACAGACCUGCCAUCAUCGAACUCAUUUGACAACAUCUUUGUCGUAGUAGAUCGGCUUAAAAAGAUGGAGCACUUUGUUCCUUGCAAAAAGACAUCGUCCAGUGAAGUUAGAGCAAGGCUCUUUCUCGAUAAUGUGUAUCGAUAUUAUGGACUAUCAGAUGAUAUCAUAUCAGAUCGUGGAACCCAAUUCGUAUCAAAGUUUUGGAGAUCUCUCUUUGAGAUACUUAAGGUGGAUAUCAAACUUUCUUCGGCUUUUUAUCCUCAAACUGCGGGCCAAACGGAACGGAUGAAUCAAGUCUUGGAACAAUACUUAUGAUGCAGUAUCAACUAUCAGCAAAAUGAUUAGACCACAUAUCUGUCGCUAGCCGAGUUUGCAUAUAACAACACCUUCCAUGCGUCGACUCAAUACACACCAUUCUUUUCCAACUAUGGGUAUCAUCCGAAGCUUGAUUUAUUGAGUCUGUCAACAAAUAACAAUCCAGUGGCUGAAGGAUUUGCAAAACAACUAUCAGAGCUUCAAAAUACAUUGAAGCUUCAAUUACAAUCCGUUCAAGAAUCCUACAAGGCGUCUGCACAUAGAUUUCGGAAUUAAGCACCUACUUUCAAAAUUGGAGAUAAAGCAUGGCUUCUUUGACGGAAUAUCAAGACCAAGCAACCAUGUGAUAAGUUGGACUAUCGAAGAUUGGGACCAUUUAUCAUCCAGAAGCAAAUCAAUCGAGUGGCGUACCGUCUGGAAUUAUCGGCUUCUAUGAAGAUACAUCUAGUCUUUCAUGUUUCUCUGUUGGAGCCUUAUCGAGAGUCGUCUUUUCCUAGAAGAGUAUAAUGUCCGCCACCUAGUAUUGAGAUCAAGAACCACGAGGAAUACGAGGUUGAAAAAAUAUUAGAUUUACGACGAAGGUGGCAUAAGUUGGAGUAUCUUGUUCAGUGGUGCGGCUACGACAUUAAUGAGCGAACGUGGGAGCCAGCUGAAAAUCUCGCCAAUACGCUGCAAAAGGUACAGGAGUUUCAUCAACAACAUCCUCAUAAACCUAAGCCGGUUCGACGAUAGCUUCUUUCUGAAGCUUGCUCACCCAAGAAUAUAAGAAAGGGAGAGAGCACCACCAAAAUUUGUAGUUGAUGUAGUUAUUUUCUCUAAGAUAAAAUAGAAUUUUUUCAUUAGCCAUAGUUUGGUCUUCUGAUAUGGAUAGCCAAAAGAUAGAUACUAUCCCAGUCAGUUUAUCUCAAUCGACUAGCUCACGAAGGCGACCCCGAGAUGAAGAACCACCUACACCACGACAACGAGGGAGGAUACCGAGUAACCUUCUAGAAGCUUCCUAGUUAGUAGAAGUUGUUUGAAAAGCUUCCUAAAUAGGAGUAUAUAUUGGAAUCGAGGCUGAAGAGUUCUUCAGUCUUGACAACACAUCUCUUGGAGCUCUAGCUCACCUCUCUGGUGUUGUUCUCAUUUGAUUAAUCUAGUUCUUGCCAGUUCUUCUUGAACUUCUUAUUAGAUCUCGAGUUUGUAUUUCUAUGUUCAUGACACUAGCCCUAAUACUUAGAGAUGUUAGAUUAUAAGCUAAUUAUUUACAAAAAUAUUCAUAGUUAAUUAUUGUAGAUAAAACUUAUAUCAAAUCUCAUAUUAUAAAGAUUCAAGAAGAUAUUAGUAUAUUAUUUAAUUAAAAUAGAACAAGCAAACCACAAAUUGAUUUAUAUGUGACAAGAUAUAAACUAAAUCUUAUGUAAGUUGGAUAGUUUGUUUGCAAUAAUAAUAUUAUUUUUAUUUUUAGUAAAAAUAAGUGUAUUAUGCUUCUUAAGAUACAACCACCUAAUAUCAUGGAUAUAAUUGUUACUAGUCAUUACUUAAAUAAGAGGAGUUAUGUAGAAGUAAGUAAAAAUAAAAAAAAUCAUAUAAUAUCUUAUGAAAAGGUUUUUAGAAGCUUUAUAAAUGCAGAUUUGAUUUUAUAUGUGUUUAUAGGUGAUUUUUAGGUUAAAAACAUAGCCAACAAGUUGGCCUUGUCUUACAUAUGUUGGCCACUUAGUGCAAAUUGGCCAUGUAGUGCACAUAUGGAAAACUUGCCUUGUAAGUUAGAUAUGUGUCAAAGGUCCUAUAUAACAUUUCUACAUAGUUUUUAGUUAAAUAAUAUAUAUGGAAGCAAGAAUGACGCCUCUUUACUCAUGUCAAUUCUUUUUUUUUUUUGCCUCUAAUCUAGUUUCAAGAAUUUUUAAUCUAUUAAUCUUUGGCAAUAGCCAUUCAAAUUUCUUCUAAAAUAUAUAUGUUUUUUUUUCCUCAUCUCUCUUUGAUAUAAGUCUCACUUAUUUAUUUAUAUUUAUUGAGUUCUUAUCCUUGGUACAUAAGCUAAUUAUUAUUUGUUACUAAAACUCAAAAUCAAAACUUUAUUAAUAAACUAAUCAUAGAAGUUGUUUAGUUUCAAAAUCAAGUUUUUUUUUUUUUUUUUUUUUUUUUUACCUCUUAAUAUCACAUGUAGUAGUAAUUUCUUUGCAUUAAUAGUAGAAGAAUGCAAUACCUCUUGUCGAAGAAAAUUAUUGAGAUUUUUUAUACCUGAGUCCUCAGAUAAACCUUUAUAUCUUUGGUACUAUUGCCUUGGGUACAUAAGAUUCUCAAAUCUCAAUAAAAUAGAUUCAACAAAACAUGGCUGUAGUUUAUAUGCAUUUAUAAUAAAAAAAAAAUUGUAUGUCUAUAUUACUUUGAAUACAAAUAAAUACGAGUGUCUAUAAUAAAGAGCAAAGUCUUAAAAUUAAAAAAUGUACUAGAUUUAAUUUAUACAUAUAUAAUUAUAUUUCUUCUUAUUAAAUUACUAGAUAAAAUAAGAUACUUCUUCACAUUCAUUAAUAAUUAUAGCAAAAAAAUGUGAUUCUAUUUUUUAAAAUUUUAAGAUCAAGUAUUUGAUAGAUUUUACAAACUCAAGGCUAUAAUAGAAAAAAAAAUUAGUCUUAUUAUUAAAGUCUUCAAUGUAGAUAAAAAAAAAAAAAAAAAAUUCUUCUUAACUAUUUUAAUUAAAAUUUGUCAAUACUAAGGCAUUUUUCAACAAUUAAUUCAAGUGUACACUUCAUAUCAAAAUGAGAUGGCUGAAUAAUGUAAUUGAACCAUUUUAAAAUAAGUUUGUACCAUGUUCUUGUCAAGAUGAGUCUUUAAUAAGCUCUAGCCAAUGAAAGCCAAAACCACAAUAUACUUGUUUAAUAAAACACCUAAUUUGAUAAAUGGCCAUGGAUUAUUUUCUGAAGAGAUAUUUUGAGAAGGUUAUCCAAACUUGAUCAUAUUAAAAUCUUUAAUUUUCUCUCAUGUAGGAUCUUAUGUUAGAAAUAAACUUAAGAAAAAGUCCAUUCUAAAGAGCAUGGUGGCAUAUGAUUAACAUUCAAAGCCCUAUUGCAUUUAUUUACCCUCCACUUAGAAGGUUUUCAUCUCAAGACAUAUUAAUGUAGAUGAAAGAUGUUUUUGUUAUUUAGAUCCUUUAUAUUUUAUUAUUUAUAAUUCACCAUAUACAACUUUAACAAGUGAAGGUAAAGAACUUGAAAAAAAAACUUAAUCAAAUGGAAAUAUCAUGCUCAUUCUAGCUAUACUUUUUAAAAUCAAUUAAUGUUGAACAAAGCAUCCAAUAAUAUUUUCAAAUCUAUAAUAAUUGCUUCAAUUUUCAGAUCAAAACAUAGCAGUAGAAUUUGAUUCUUAUCACAUACUAGAAAUGGUUCAUAUGAGCAUUUCUUAUAAGAAUCUUUAUUAACAUACUUAUCUUUUGAAUGAUACUACAAUAUCAACAUCUUCUUUAAGCAUUGAAUUAUUAUUAAUAUUAGUAAAAAGCUAAAAAAACGAUUCCAGCAAAGCCAACUUAAGACCUCAGCAAGGAAAUAGAUCUAAUAGACUUGAUUGGACAAUAUCAGACAUAAUUAGAUCUGGAAAAACAACAACCUUACAAGUUGGCUCAAAAAUCAUAAAGUGGAUAUUAUAAAAGCUGCCAAGCUAGAAGUAAAUUUAUUUGCUAAAACUUGGAAUUAUCUCGUAUGGAACAAUUCAAUAGUCAAUAAAGUAGAUUCUAUAGAAAAGAACCAAAUAUGAUAUUAUAUUUUAUUGUCACUUAAAAAAUCAACUAUUCCAUCAAAUAGGUUUAUUAUUAUUUUUAUUUUUUAAAUAAAAACUUAAUAGAGAUUUAAAAAUUAAAUUCUAGAUUAAUUUUUAAGAAAUUUUAACAAUAGAAAAGAGUAGAUUUUGAGAAAAAACUUACUCUAUUUAUCUAUUAGAAGAUAAUUAGAUGCUUAUUAGUAUUAGUUGUAUAAAAUAUUUGGAUAUUUUCUCACAUAGAUAUAAUCUUAGUUUUUUACAUGGUCUAUAUAAGAAAAAAAAUUACAUUUUUUAAUUGAAAGGAUUUGUAAUACCAUGUAAAAAAUAUAUAUAUUCUACAAAUUAUUUAAAAUAUAUAUAUAUAUAUAUAUAUAUAUAUAUAUAUAUAUAUACUGCUUGAAAUAUGUCCUUUGAUCUUGGUACACUAAAAUCAACAAAUGCCUCAGAAGAAAAGAAUUUAGAUUUAGACUUAGAGAUCACAAUCUCUAUUUCAAAAUUAUUAGUAGAAUUGUUAUUCUUAUUGUAUUCCAUUUUGAUAAUCUUCUUAUAGUAAAAUAUUCUUUUAAUGCCAUAAAAGAAUUUAAGCUUGAAUUAAGUUCCAAAUUUGUAAUAAUAGAAUAUUAUAGUGAGAUAUUAUAGUGAGAUAUUAUAAUUCAUCUUAAGACUAAGUGUCUUAGAAAAAAAUAAGUUAUUAUUCUUUUUCAAAGAAUUUGUACUUGAAAAAUACAUAAGAUCAAAAAAAGCCAAGAUUUCUAGCUGAGAAAUAGUUUGAUAGGUAGGUGAUGUUAAUUGGCAAAUAAUAUGGAAGAAGAAGAAUAUGAUCUAACUUUCUCUUGAAGAUUGGUGGAUUCUUUAUUGCACUAAACUAUUAGAAGAUUUGACAUCAAGUUUGCUAUUGAUGUAUAUAGUCACUUUAUGUAAAGAUUGUAGGUACCUUAUCUACUAGCAACUAAAAAAAAUUUGAAAUAUAUUUUUGGUACAAUGGAUUAUGGCUUACUAUUUAAAGAAAAAAAAUUGAAUACUUAGAUUGUGAUUUAGGUUAUGAUAUCUAAGAUGCUAUGUCUAUUACAUACAUUAUUUUUAGACUUCCAAAUUUAUCAAUAUGAUUAUUUUCUAAGAAAUAACCUAUAGUAGUUUUUUGUAUCUUUUGAAGCAAAAUAUCAAGCUUUAGUAAAUGCUUCUAGAGAAACCUUAUGUUUGAAUAUAUUCUUCUAAGGUCAAAAUUUUGAUAUAGAGAAAGUAAUAAGACUUCACUAUAAUAAUACAAAAUGUACUUAAAUAGUAAUAAAUUUGAGUGUAAACUCUUGUACCAAACAUAUAGCUAUGCAUUAUUAUUAUACUCGCAAAAAGAUUAAAAGUAGAGAAAUUAACUUAGAUUAUAUACCUUCUUCAAAAAAACUUGUGGAUAUUUUAAUUAAGCCUCUUGGGCAUUUUGUGUUUAAAUGUCUUAGAAAUAGUUUAAACAUUUUUAGUAUUGAUAGAUUCACUAGAAACAAGAAGCCUCACUAAUAAGACACCAUUUGCUUUAGUCAAAUCAGUUAUCUUCUGCUAUGGUUGAUUUUUAUUGUACACACUAUAUUACUCAAACAACACUCUAAAAAACCUUCCUUUUCUUCAUCUGGAGCUUCUUUGCUCUUCUUGAAAAGAUUGCUGAUCAAAACAUGGAGGUUAUUAAUAAACAACCACUUCAAUCUGAGUGUCAACAUUCCACAUUAAUUUUGUCACUUGUCUUCCCUUCAUUACACAUUGAUGUUCACUACAAAGACUGUGUCUGCUUUUUAAGUCCGCUUAAAUCCUCUAGCACUGACUCUGGUCGUUUUGAAUUCUAUGUUGUUUGGAAAUGAAUUCUACUUACACUCUAUUCAUCAUGGUCUGAAUGUGAAUCCCUGUGAAAAAUUACAAAGGUGUUAAAUUCAAAGGUUUUAUGUCACUCUAGGCAGAUCAACAUUAUUUAGUUGCAUAGCAAUUUAGUUUUCUUACUGCUCUUGGUUUUGAUUCUGAAGGGCGAGACUGGGUGUUGAGGAAUUCUGUUGUAUUCUCAGUUAAAAACUUCCAGAGAACCUUGUUCCCUUGACUGACCUUGUAUAUGUUUGCCUUUUGGCACCAGGCAAUUAUGAGUGGUGUGUGUGCAUGUAUUGGCACUGAUUAAGUCAUCACAUCAAAAGUAUGUGCUCUUGGAAUUGAUAUAUUUACAUGUCCAAAUACACUAGUUAUAGAUGUACCUGCAUACAAUAAUACAAACCUCUCAUAAUUUAAAUGUUGUACAUUGGCAUUUCUUGCACAUAACCUAUUAUUUAAAUUCACCUCAUACACAUUAAAUUAAAAAUUACAUACAAUGAAAUAGCAUAUACAUAUAUGUAUGAACAAACAUAGAUAACUUAGCAACAGAAGGCCUUGUCACUAAAUGAGUGUGUGGACGGGCUUCCAGUCCGUGAGGAAGAAGAGGACGAACACAGAAGUUUUGGGUAUUGUUUGUAGAAGAAGUCAUUUUGAAGGGGUUGUAGAUAUUUGUACAUAACUUUGUAGAAAUACCACCUGAACAGCUCCAUCACAUCCCAAAGUAAAAGUAAGAAUCUUCUUUAUGAGAUGGAAUAAGACGGUAUUACAAGACAUUUCACCUUGAUAUUGUUCAGUUUAAGGAAGAGAAGAGGACGAAUUUUGCGUCUUCCAGAUACAAACAAGUAGUUCGGGUUGAAAUUGCAUCAAGGGAAAGCACCACUAUCCUGCAACUGUGCCUCGAUAAGGGGGAAGCGGAUUUCCUCAGUAUGCUAGUAAUUUAUUGUUGCCGUCCAUUUUCCUCACCAUUGACGAACUACGUGUCAGCAGUUGUUUAUUUGUCACAGUUGCGUCUAUUUUGUCAAGCCACUUCAAGAUAAAAUAGCUGUCGACUUUCUGAUCCGAGUUGAGACAUUGUAUCUUGCUACGAUAUUAAAAAAACUUCAAUUUUCCAACGAAGUACUGCAUUGUGAGACGUGUGAAAAACUACAUUUUCGAUCUGUUCUAUAAUCCUCCAUAACAUAACGACAAGUUUGAGACCUUCCUGGACAUUUGGUCCUGAAAAUAGAUAAAUCGAUGGACGAGUUCAGCAUCACUCCAGCAGCAAAGCGUGGAUUAUGCGUAGUGCUUCGAACACGAUUCAAAGCGUACAAAAAUCACAAAAAUCACUUGCAAAACAAUCGAUGAACGAGAGACAUUGUAGCGCGCAGUACGGUACUUAAGCUACACGAAGAUUGCACAGCGAACUAUGCACAUCGCCAUAGUUCCUUUCAUGAAAACAUCAAUCAACUCUCACAAGCCUCAUAUGUCAUAAACCAAUGAAACUCUGAAUUCACACUUACCACAGAAAAGCCGCGCAACUCAGUCUCGUAUACUCUGUCGUAGUAAGCAAAGCCCAGAGAGAUGAAGCAAAUUCUCUUCUAGUAAACAAAUCACACCAUGAAAACGAGUCCCAAGGUUCGACAAUGGCACCAUCUUCUUGUAUUGGUCCUUUCAAGGAAUUCAUACUGAAUUGGAACGCAUACACGCAUCCAGUAGAAAUAGAGUUUGAAGGUAUAAGCAUCCAUGCCUCCUACGACUAGCUCUGCAGAUCCCUUUCCACCGGCAGAAAGUAGUUUGAGGUUGUCACAGGGCAUCAGCAUGAAAAAAAUUCCACCGGGCCUUCGCAGGCUCUGGAGGCAUUACUUGGAACAUUCUUAGCCAAGGCGGUUUUUCAUGUCCCAACGCGCACUAAUGAGCACAAUCCAGGAAGAGUUCAUUAGUAUCCCAAAUUGUUCUACACAAGCCUCUUGUUCCAACAGUGAUUGCUCUGGUUUUUCGCGCGUCCGCUGAGUUCGAUCCUUCAUCUGCUCUGUCACGCCGCCUUCCCAUCCAGCAAAAUUUCUUUGAAGCUUGCAUCAGUUCCUCCACCACUGGUUCGCUUUGUGAACUUGUUUGUGACUGCGAGCUGCCGAGUUUGGUCUCGCAAUCCCCUAGUUAGCGGUCACUUUUGAUUCGUCGUUUCUUACAACUAGCUGAACUCAUCCUGGAUGCACUCCUUGUGGUAUCGCCUAGUUUAGCAUGAAGAGAUGCUGCAGUACCUUGUGAUCUCUGUGUUUGUAUCUUGCAUGGUGUAAUAUCCUUUGCCUUCCUCACUUAUUCCACCCGUAUUACUCCCACUCCACAUGUCAACAGGUCCAUGAAAGACUUGCAUCAAAUUAGAUGACUAUCAUAUCUAUAUUAAUAUAUAUAACUUUGAUGUUUUGCAUGCUGACCAUAGACUUGAAGGAUCUAAAGGGGGAGACACUACAGGAUCCUACACAAUAGAGCAACAAUAUUCUAUUCAAAGAAGCCAUAAAUGAUGCAGGAUUGGAGACAUGCUAUGAUUGAUGAAAUGCAUUCUAUUAAACAAAACAAAACUUGGACUCUCUGGCCCUUACUCUUAAGAAAACGCCCUAUCACAUCCAAAUAGGCUUAAAUCAAAAUUAAACAACUUAUCCAAUAGAAGAAAAAAUAAACAUGUUUGGCAGCUUGAGAUUUCAAACAAACUAUAGUGAUUGAUUUUUUUUAGAACCUUUGCUCUUAUCAUCAAAUGGUCAACAAAUAAAAUUGCAACAACAUUGGUAGCAGCUUACAAAUGGGACAUAUAUAACAUGGAUGUAUAAAAGUCAUUUUAAACUGCUACUUUAAAAAAGAUGUUUGUAUGUGCCAACCUCAAGGUUUUAUUUUCUCAUGCAAUAAAAACUUAGUUUGUAAACUCAAAUAUAGUCUAAAAUAAUCACCUUAGGCAUAGUACAAGAGAAUAGAUAAGAUUCUACAAGACAAAAUAAACAAACAUAGCAACUACAAUGCUAAUAUCUUUAUAUGCAUCAAAAUAGCAAAGUACUUAUUUUAAUGUUCUAUUCAAUGACUUAUUUGUCACAAGCGGUAGUAAUAAUCUAAUCUCUUAGCUCAAAUCCUUCUUACAUAAUACCUUUGAUAUAAUCAAUUUAAAAAAAAUCAAAUAAUAUCUUGGCAUAGCUUUAAUGUAGAGCUUAUAGGAUAUCUUCUUACAUUAGAAAGAAUAUAUAUUUUCCAUCAUUAAGCAAUUUGGAAUAUUCAACUACAAAAAAUCCAAAAUAUCCUUGCCAAAAGAUUAGUAUUAGUUAACAACAUGAAUUCCUCUAACAUUGACUUAACCUAUUAUUUUCAAUUAGUAGAUAAAUUAGUAUAUAAAAAUUAGUAUGUAAAAAUUAGUAUGUAAAAAUUAGUAUAUAAAAAUAGUAUGUAAAAAUUAUUUAGAACAUAUAAUAUAUUUAUAAGACUUGGUAUAUGUUAGAAUGGUUAAUAGAUUAAUUUAAAAAAAAUGGAUUUAAGAAACUUUAUUUUGAGUUUUAUCUUUUUAAUUAUAGCAUUUCAAAAAAAAUUAUAGAAUCUAAAUGUUAGUAUGAAGCCUUGAGAGGAGAUUAGAGCCUAAAGAAGAAAUUCUUAACUAAUAUGAGGCAUAUUGGGAGGGAUGAAAGCAAGGCAUGGUUGGAUGAAGGCAAGGAAUGAGAAACUUUAUUCCUAUUGGUCAAAGGCCAUGCCCAAUGGACUUCAAGGAGGCUGCCCGAGGCCUUAUUAAGGAUUAGGAUUUUUUUUUCAAGGGCAUUUGAGCUUUGGAGGCUAGAGUCAGCAAUUUCAGGAUUUUGGGUAUAAUUUGGGUGAAGAGUUUGUGUGAUUUCGAGUUUUUGUGAAGGAGAUAUAGGUAUUCAAAGUUAAGGUGUCAAAUUUGUAUCUACUAUCUUUCUUUGAAGCAUAACAUAUGCACACGGAGAGCAAUGAAAGUUUGGCGACUAGAGUUGGAGAGAACACUUUCUUAACUAUACUUUACAUAUAUUGUUUGAUGAAUUCCAACUCUAGAUGAAGGAGUUAUAGGGUAUUGAAGACAACAUAUGUAAUUCAAAUAUAUGUAACUAUACUUUACAUAUAUUGUUUGAUGAAUUCCAACUCUAGAUGAAGGAGUUAUAGGGUAUUGAAGACAACAUAUGUAAUUCAAAGGCAGUAAGUGAACCAUUUUGUUGAUAGUAAUGGUUGGAGUCAUAUCUUGAGUUUUUGGACGAACUUUUGGCUCAAAAUUUCCGUAAGUGUGAGUUAUUGAAUUAAAAAGCUAUAGAUCAAAGUUUCAUGGUAUUUAAAUACUUAUUUUGUGAGAUAUAAAGAAAAUAGCAUACGGGUGUAUGUAAGCUAGGAUUUAAAGCUAUUGUUAGGGUUUUGAUGAUAUCUCAAGAUCUGUAAUGAAUUUGAAGUUGAAUUUUUUUGUGAAAGUUUUUGAAAGUAUAUCAAUACUUCAUAUAAAAUUUUAGAUUUUUUGGAUGGUCCGAUCGUGAGAUAUGAGUUGUUGAAGUGUAGAGAAACAUUUCUUAUAAGGAUAUAUAAGGCUUAAAGAUUUUUUAUCAUACAUUUGGAUUUUUUUUGGUAUUUGGGCUUAUGUAUUGAUGUAAUUGUCCUAAAAGGGAAAAUUUUAUAUAUAUAAACUUGGUACUUUUAUAUCUUAGACUUAAUUGAGCAUUUACUGGCAGCUAAAAGUUCAGCGCUUUCUUAAGGCAAACUCUCUCUACCUCAACACCGGCUAGAUAUUUCUUAUGACAUUAGCCAAGUUAGUGGUUCUAUAGCAAAACCACAAGAAUUACAUUUGAAUAUUGUCAAAUGCAUAUUGUACUAUAUGAAACAUAUAUUAGAUUUUGGCAACUUCUAUACAUAAAAAGAAGAUUGUAUAUUGAUGUAGAUUGAGAAACUUAUAUAUAAGAAGACACUCCAUUAGAGCUUACAUCUUUAUACAUGUAGGUAAUUUAAA